rnacentral:rRNA from 1 species
AAUCCCGUGAACCAUCGAGUCUUUGAACGCAAGUUGCGCCCGAAGCCUUCGGGCCGAGGGCACGCCUGCCUGGGCGUCACGCAUCGCGUCGCCCCCCUCACCCCGUCCCUGUGGGCGGGGGGGGCGGAGAUUGGCCUCCCGUGCGCUCCGGGCGUGCGGCCGGCCC